UCGGCGAUAGGCGCUUCUCUCUGAAAUAUUAACGAUCAUCUUCCCAACAGUUGCACCAGUUGAUUUUGUACUCUUUAAAAUUCAAACUCCAUGGCAAUUUCCUCUCAAUCUUUUCUUUCUCUACUAAAGCAACAGGUAUGGAAUCUGAACUCUGCUUCACCAAAUUCUUAUGUUUUUCAAUUUGUCUUCUCCUAUUCAUAGUUUUUCCACAAUCUCCUUGCUUAUCAGGUCUCUGGCGCCAAUACUAUUUCAUCAUCUAUUUUUACCGCAAAAUCGCAGCCGAUAUUUAUCUCUCGCAAAAACAAUUUGUAAGUCCCUUGGUUUUG
rnacentral:lncRNA from 1 species